AUAUGAGAAUUAUCUGCCUGUAACAUCUGUCAGCCCACUGAUUGCCAGGGUUGAUUCAGCUGAUAAGGUGCUCUAGGUGGAUGUCCCUUUUAUCCCUUACCACU